rnacentral:rRNA from 1 species
CCUACGGGUGGCAGCAGUGGGGAAUAUUGGACAAUGGGCGAAAGCCUGAUCCAGCCAUGCCGCGUGUGUGAAGAAGGCCUUCGGGUUGUAAAGCACUUUCAGUGGGGAAGAAAGCCUUGGGGCUAAUACCCUCGAGGAAGGACAUCACCCACAGAAGAAGCACCGGCUAACUCCGUGCCAGCAGCCGCGGUAAUACGGAGGGUGCGAGCGUUAAUCGGAAUUACUGGGCGUAAAGCGCGCGUAGGCGGUCUGAUAAGCCGGUUGUGAAAGCCCCGGGCUCAACCUGGGAACGGCAUCCGGAACUGUCAGGCUAGAGUGCAGGAGAGGAAGGUAGAAUUCCCGGGGUAGCGGUGAAAGGCGUAGAGAUCGGGAGGAAAACCAGUGGCGAAGGCGGCCUUCUGGACUGACACUGACGCUGAGGUGCGAAAGCGUGGGUAGCAAACAGGAUUAGAUACCCUGUAGUC